rnacentral:rRNA from 1 species
AACGAACGCUGGCGGCAUGCCUAACACAUGCAAGUCGAACGAGACCUUCGGGUCUAGUGGCGCACGGGUGCGUAACGCGUGGGAACCUGCCUUUAGGUUCGGAAUAACUCAGAGAAAUUUGAGCUAAUACCGGAUGAUGUCUUCGGACCAAAGAUUUAUCGCCUUUGGAUGGGCCCGCGUUGGAUUAGCUAGUUGGUUGGGUAAAGGCCUACCAAGGCGACGAUCCAUAGCUGGUCUGAGAGGAUGAUCAGCCACACUGAGACUGAGACACGGCCCAGACUCCUACGGGAGGCAGCAGUGGGGAAUAUUGGACAAUGGGCGAAAGCCUGAUCCAGCAAUGCCGGGUGAGUGAUGAAGGCCUUAGGGUUGUAAAGCUCUUUUACCCGAGAUGAUAAUGACAGUAUCGGGAGAAUAAGCUCCGGCUAACUCCGUG